CGUCGCAUCUCAAAAAAAAAAAAAAAAAAAAAAAAAAAAAAAGAACCAGGGCUUGGCACGUCCGGAGGUCCGACGGCUGCGACGCGUCAGGGCGCCCAGCGCUUCCCGGGAGCAGGGGCAGAAAGCCGGCGCGCUCCCUCCGCUCCUCGCCGCUGGGCUGACGCAACGCCCCGGCGCGCGACGGCCGCAGCCUCGCACACGAGCGUGAACCUCGACGCGGGGAGACGGUGCCAUUCACCGUUGUCAAUAUGGUGCAUAAAGAUGGGAACCAUUGACAAAAGUAUAUUCAUUUACAGGCUGGAUUUGCAACAAUUAUCUAAAGCUACAAGAAACAGAGGUGACUACUGAAAACAGUAAGUUUUGUGUAGUUAGGGUCAGGUACAGUGUGUGUUAGUAAACAGUUACCACUUAUUUAACUAUAUUGUGUUAUCU
rnacentral:lncRNA from 1 species